GUGGAUUAGAUACCCUGGUAGUCCACGCCGUAAACGAUGAGCACUAGGUGUCGGGGUCGCAAGACUUCGGUGCCGUAGUUAACGCAUUAAGUGCUCCGCCUGGGGAGUACGUUCGCAAGAAUGAAACUCAAAGGAAUUGACGGGGACCCGCACAAGCAGCGGAGCAUGUGGUUUAAUUCGAAGCAACGCGAAGAACCUUACCAGGACUUGACAUCCUUCUGACAGGACCUUAACCGGUCCCUCCUUCGGGCAGAAGAGACAGGUGGUGCACGGCCGUCGACAGCU
rnacentral:rRNA from 1 species